UACGUAGGGUGCGAGCGUUAAUCGGAAUUACUGGGCGUAAAGCGUGCGCAGGCGGUUCCGCAAGUCAGAUGUGAAAUCCCCGGGCUUAACCUGGGAACUGCGCUUGAAACUACGGAGCUAGAGUACGGCAGAGGGGGGUGGAAUUCCACGUGUAGCAGUGAAAUGCGUAGAUAUGUGGAGGAACACCGAUGGCGAAGGCAGCCCCCUGGGCCGAUACUGACGCUCAGGCACGAAAGCGUGGGGAGCAAACAGG
rnacentral:misc_RNA from 1 species